rnacentral:rRNA from 1 species
GACGAACCGUGCGACCGUUAUUCGGAAUCACUGGGCUUAAAGCGCGUGUAGGCGGAUGGGAACGUCGGCGACUGAAAGCCCCCGGCUCAACCGGGGAAGCGGAACCGAUACGGCCCGUCUGGAGGGGCGUAGGGGGACCUGGAACUUCCGGUGGAGCGGUGAAAUGCGUUGAGAUCGGAAGGAACGCCCGUGGCGAAAGCGAGGUCCUGGACGUCAUCUGACGCUGAGACGCGAAAGCUAGGGGAGCGAACGGG